GACAAUUAAGCAUUAUUUGUUUCUUGUUUACGCCAAGAAGGUCUAGUUUAACUAGUUUUGUCA
rnacentral:tRNA from 1 species